rnacentral:rRNA from 1 species
UACGUAGGGGGCAAGCGUUGUCCGGAAUCAUUGGGCGUAAAGCGCGCGUAGGCGGCCCUGUAAGUCCGUUGUGAAAGUCGAAGGCUCAACCUUCGAAAGCCGAUGGAUACUGCAGGGCUAGAGUCCGGAAGAGGCGAGUGGAAUUCCUGGUGUAGCGGUGGAAUGCGCAGAUAUCAGGAGGAACACCGGUGGCGAAGGCGGGUCUCUGGGCAGUAACUGACGCUGAGGAGCGAAAGCGUGGGGAGCGAACAGG